GCGCACUGUGUUAAGAAGCAGUGCGGCUAGGUUGGGUUGUGUAUCGGAAGACGCAUGACUUUCAACCUUCGUCUCUCCCGAGCCCGUACGGGAGUUGCAGCGAUGAGAGAAGAUAGUAGCUACUACAACAAUUGGACACCACGAAAUUGGGGAGAAAAAGGGGUAAAAAAAAUAAAUUUAAACACAAAAAAAACAACACAUGGAAUAAACAAAACAUACAGUCAAUAAUACAGUCGAACAAAAGAAAACAAAAAGUCUAUAUACAGUGAGUGCAAAUGAGGUGUUUCUUCGGUUCGGUGGAACAGCAUUUAUCAGCUCUCUGUGCGCCGAAGUCUUAUUUUCUGUGGAUUUAGCGCCAUCUGGAGGGCAAAGAGGACAAAAUCAGUACUGCACCAGCGGACGUGAAAGGGGACCGGCUUUAAAAACAAAUCCAAGAUGGCUACUUGUGAGUGGUCAGCACAAAUGUCCUUGUUUAUUUCCCCCUCUCCUCGUUGGUAAGAGUUUCUGCUGCUUUACAAAUGUGAAAGGGUUCAAAGCACACACUAAGCCUGAGUCCUCUCAGCUCUGAGUAUAUGUUUUUCCUAGAUACAGAGUUCGGAUCAGUUUAGUUUCUACUAGCCUAGCAAAGAUUGUUGGGAGGUGGGGGAACGACACCAAUCACAGCACCAGCACGGCCCUGCUACUCUACAUAAUCCCCAGCCUGCCCGGCGGCUCGGUAAAAGGCAAUUGUUAAAGCUUUUAGAUACUACCUCAGAGAGUGCUGUGUGUUUGAAGCAUAUGAGUCUUAUCGGGGUGCUUCCAGAGAAUAACUGUCAAUGAGACUGCUAAUCAAGGUGCUUUAUCUUUAUGUUAUGGCACUUUUUGUCUGCUUCUGUUGAGAAGAAUAUACAUGUGAAAUGACCUUUCCCCUAAUCAUUAUCUGUUGUUGUUGUUGUUAGCAUUAACAGGAUACUCUUUAAAGUGUUAAGGUAAGUGGUAAAAUAGUUAAAACACCUUCUAGCUGGGCUUAGAAAUCAUUGUACAAUUUCAAAUUUUCAUCCAUUUUGCUUGCUGUAGAAGAAGCCUUUUUAUGAAAUCAUAUGUAUACUGUAGCUUGUCUUGUCUGUGUUUCAGUCUACAUCACUUUGCUUGGCCUAUUUCUUGCUUGUAGAUGUCUGCCCACUGUAUAUCUGUCGUUUGUAGCUUUUUAAAUGUAGAUUGUCCAACCAAGAUUCCUAACCUCUUCCAACACUGAUCAAAACUCAAAGUGCAUUCUGCAUUUGCUGUCAACAGGAUGUUAACAGGUUUUGAAGCUGAACAUCUAUUGUAAUUUUAAUUAUUUUUAAUUAUUU
ensembl:lncRNA